CUUUAAAAAGUAGGUUAUUUCUGUUGAAGAGAAAAUUAUCAGCAGGGAAGAGUCUACUAGAAAAUUCAUGUGCUAGUCAUUCUUGGGGAUUUAAUAUUUUGCUGGAGUUAAUUCACUAUAUCCAGACCUGUAUCUUUCAUUUAUUGCUGAGCCAUGUGCAGUCUGGCAUCUCAACAACCUCAACAACCUCAACAACCUCCAAGACAUGUCAGUUUCUGUAGUGUUCACCUCAAAUCUGACACUGGAAUUGGAACUGAUUUAGAAACAACCAUUUCAUUCAUUUGGUAUGACUAGCUUCAUGACUAGCUUCAUGAAUAGCUUCAUGAAUAGCUUCAUGACUUCUCGCUAACAAUGAUAGUAUAAUUCUGCCUGUUCUUCAGGAUUGAAAUUUUGAACUCAAUUUAGAUUUCCUGUUUUCCCUCAUAUACCACAUCUAAACAGUCUCCAAAUCUUUAUGCUUUUUUUUUUUUUUUUCGAAAAAGUUCACCCAAUCCCUAGGCUUUUUACUUUUUUCUUUUUCUUUUCUUUUUUCUUGUUUUUUUUUUUUUUUCAUUUUGUUUUGUUUUGUUAUGUUUUUUUAGACAGGGUCCCACUCUGUCACCCAGGCUGGAGUGCAGUGGUGCAAUCACAGGACACUGAAACCUCCCACCUAGCUGGGACUAGAGGUGCAGGCCACCACACCAGCUAAUUUAUGUAAUUUUUGUAGAGACGAGUUUCACCACGUUACCUAGGCUUGUCUUGAACACCUGGGCUCAAGCAAUCUUCCAGCCCCAGCCUCCCAAAGUGCUGGGAUUACAGGUAUAAACCACAAUGCCCCCGUUUUUACUCUUUACUGCAUCCUUCCCAUCAGUAUUAAUUCCUCAGAAAUUUAGUACAUUCCUCCACCAUUUCAAAAUGCUCCCAGAACUCACACUAGUUGGUACUUAACUACAACCUUCAACCUCACCAUUUAAUUUUGAUGUAUGUUUUUGGAUUUACCAACAGUACUUUCUUUCAUGACUACUUUGAUUUAGUUAAGAAUGCUCACUGUACACUGAAUGUUAAUUACUCAGCUAAUUCACACUGAUUUCCUGUUUAAAAAUAUGAUCCCCUCCAGGCCAUUCAUGUGAAGUCAGGGUACAGCUGAUGCCAGCUACAGAAUCACUAUGUUUCAAUAUGGAAUAUGAAAAGUCCUAACACAUAAUUGCAAAUCAUUUUCUACUAUGGUAUACAAAUUUUAUCAUUACAAAAUAGUAUCAGCUUUUUUCACUUAAGGAAAAUAAUACAUCUUCAUUCAAAUAUUCAGUGCAUAAAUAAUUGCCUUAAAUUGAGUCUUUGCUGUGGAAUUUGAGAGUUUUGGAAAUCAAAGGCCCUUGUGAAACAUUUCCUGUUGCCAUUUAUUUAUAGAUAGCAAUAGCUUCAAAUGAGUGGGAAAGUCUACUUAGGUGAAGUGGUAAAUAGUCACUAAGAUUGUAUAAAUAGCGCAUUGAUGAGUUGCCUAAUUGUUUUCUCCAACAAUAACCACUGGUCCAUUGGUUCACUACUUACUCAAGAAAGACAUAUACUGAGAUGGCUUGAAAUGUUUAAUGCAUGUGAACGUUAUUUUUACCGUGUUUUGGAAAAAGAUCUUGAUGUUAUUGUCUUCCUUUAUUUUCCACAAUUAAGUGCAUCUAACUGUGAAUUGUAUAUGGAAUUACAUUAUUCAGCAUAUACAUAUAUUUACCUGCUUUGUUCAUUCUCUGUAUUCAAAAUUAACAGAUCAUGCUGAAAACCACUCAAACGAUUAUAUUUUUUACAUUAUAAGAAGUAAAAUAUAUUAUUCUGAAUAAUG
rnacentral:lncRNA from 1 species